AUAAAAUAAUUAUAUUUUUGAAAGUUUAUUACAAAUUUAUUUUACAUAUAAAUUUUAGUAUUUAAUUUUAAUUAUUUAAAUAAUAAUUAAUUUAAAUUUUAAGUAGUAAUUAAUAUUAAAAAUUUAAGAAAUUAAGAUUUAGUAAUAUAAAAAUUAAUAACUAAUUUUGUGCCAGCAGUUGCGGUUAAACAAAAGUUAAAUUAAAUUAUUUCAGUUUAUAAUAAAUAAAAUAUUUUAUUAAAAUAAAUAUUAAAUUAUUAAGUGAAAUUUUAAUUUAAUUAAAUUUUAUAUAAUUAUUAUGAUUUAAUAAAUUUUAAUAUAAACUAGGAUUAGAUACCCUAUUAUUAAAAAUUUAAUUUAUAAUACUAAAAUAGUAAAUAAUAAUUUAUUGAAACUUAAAUAAUAUGGCGGUAUUUUAGUUCAUUUAGAGGAAUCUGUCUAAUAAUUGAUAAUCCACGAAUAAAUUUACUUAAUUUAUAAUUUUGUAUAUCAUUGUUAAAAAAAUAUUUUUUAGUAAAAAUAAUAUUUAAAUUUUAUUAAAAAAGUUAAAUCAGAUCAAGAUGCAGAAUAUAAUUAAGAAUAUGAUGGAUUACAUUAAAAAUAUUUAAAUGAAUAAUUUUAUUGUAAUAUAAAUUUGAAGGUGGAUUUAAAUGUAAUUUUAAUUAAUUUAUUAAAAUGAUUAAUAAUUAAAAUAUGUACAUAUUGCCCGUCACUUUCAUUUUAAAGUUGAAAUAAGUCGUAACAAAGUAGAGGUACUGGAAAGUGUUUCUAGAAAGA
rnacentral:ncRNA from 1 species